rnacentral:rRNA from 1 species
CACGCAGGCGGUCAGAUAAGUCUGAUGUGAAACCUUUCGGCUUAACCGAAAGACGUCGUUGGAUACUGUCUGUCUUGAGGCAAUGAGAGGAGUGCGGAAUUCUCGGUGUAAUGGUGGAAUAUGUAGAUAUCGAGAGGAACAUCUGUGGCGAAAGCGGCACUCUGGCAUUUGCCUGACGCUCAUGUGCGAAAGCGUGGGGAGCAAACG